ensembl:lncRNA
AGAAGUUUCACAGCUAGUGGCAAUUUGAAAAUUAUCCUUUUGAGAAAUUUCCUCCUGACUUCCACGAGUGGAAAAUUCAUCUAUGCCUGGAGGCAGAAAGAUUGGAUGAGGGGUUGGAACUACAUGAUCUUUAAGGUCCCAUCCAACUAAACAGUUCUAUGAUUCUGUGAUCUGCAACAUAAAACUGUCAAAAAGAGAAGUUCCACAAAAGUGUCAAAAAGAGGACUUCCAUGUUCUGGCUCCAGUGAUAGAAAUGAUCCAGCCCAGCCCUCUUAAGUGCUGCACACAACUUGGGAAGCUCCUAUCAUGCCCACAGGAAAGAAAAUGACAAACUGAAGAGGAUCCAGUGGAUGGCCACCAGGAUGAUGGGAGUGCAUUGCUGUGGAGGAAGGCAGGCUUUGAAUUCAGACUGACUGAAUAGUUCAGUGUGAGAACAUUCAUCUGCCUCUGAAAGAGCCAUAAAGUGUGAUGAUGACAGUGAUGGAAACUGAGCUGCAUAACUUGGUUGUUUCUUCAGAGCUAAAGGGUGAUUAGCAGCCACCUGAAAAACUUAUGUAAUGAGGGUGGUAUAAAGACUCCAUUUAAUAUUGUUGUGAAGCAGUAGGGGAGAGAAAGCUGCAGCUGCAAAUGAACCUGUUCUUUCCUCUAGUGAAAGUUUUGGCGCAAAGAUCAAUACACUGAGAC